UGUUAUGUGUUAGGUCUACUCCGGUGUGUUAUGUGUUAGGUCUACUCCGGUGUGUUAUGUGUUAGGUCUACUCCGGUGUGUUAUGUGUUAGGUCUACUCCUCUGGUGUGUUAUGUGUUAUGUGUUAGGUCUACUCUGGUGUGUUAUGUGUUAGGUCUACUCCGGUGUGUUAUGUGUUAGGUCUACUCCGGUGUACCAUGUUACCUUUAAGUCAUUCCAUUUUGCUACAGACUAUUCCUGUUUAUGUACCAACAUGCAAGAUUUCAGCCUCCUACAUGGCUUAGCUUGUGAACUUUGACAAAAAAGAGGUCAAACUAAAUCGACCCCCCCCCC